rnacentral:rRNA from 1 species
AAACGAUUGAAGCCAGUCGUACUGACGGGUAAUCAACCUUUCGGGUGCGAUUCUGCGGGUUUUGAGGAGCUUCACGGCCCUCAUGGUCUGCAUAUUUGUGCCAUUUGGGUGUACUUACCUGGUAGUAGGUUAACAUCAAUUUCGGACGUCAUAAAAUGAUGGGAGGAAUGUAGCUUCGGUCUCGUACUGAAGUGUUAUAGCCUCUGGUAG